GAGUGCUGCCUCAGGCUGUGUUCCUCGUGGAUAUUAUGCUAUGUUGCCCUUUCAACAACGGAGGUCUUUAUCAUUGUCCUGAUUUCACAGGUGCUGCACUGUCCUCAUGCCCUACCCUUCAGCCAUCAUCUCGUACUCCCUUACACCUCUCCCAAGAUGCCAUACUUUGUACCUUUGCACACGCAGCAUGGUCUUUCCAGGACAUCCUUCGCCUCCUUAAGAGACGCCUCAUCAUCCUUGAAGAUCCAGAAACCCAACAGCGCUGUUCUGACUUCAGAGGAAAUGGCUUUUCUGGUUACAGCGGAUGGGUAUUCCUUCACAUUCCGUGGGGAUCUUUGGGAAGAGCUUCAGCGUUUGGGCUGCAGUCCCAGACAGGGAACUCCGGGUUAGUCAAGUGAAGCAGUGGAGAAGGAACAAAGAAAUCUGUAACUGGCUAUGAUCAAUUAGUUGUAAAUUAAUCUCUUAUUUAACAUUUUGAUUGCACGCAAAAAAGAUGAUUUCGUGAACAAUUUAUAUGAUAUAAUCUAGGAGUUUUAGACACUAGAAUGAAAGAGUGAUUAUAGAACUUUAAUGGACACCCAAAAAAAAGUUCUGAAUGGUGAUCUAGGAAUUCUUUAUAAACUUCCUAGAUUUUGAGCCCCCAUUAAAAAAAUCGGGGUGCCUGGCUGCCUUAGUCUGUAAAGCACGCGACUCUUGAUUUCAGCGUCUUGAGUUUGAGUCCCAGGUUUACUUAAAAAAAAAAAAGAAAUGACUGGGGGCACCUGGGUGGCUCAGUCGGUUAGGCAUCUGACUUUGGCUCAAGUCAUGAUCUCAUGGUUUAGGAGUUCGAGCCCAAAAUUAGGCUCUGCACUAACAGUGUGGAGCCUGCUUGGGAUUCUCUCUCUCUUUCUCUGCCCCUCCCCCACUCACACUGUCUCUCUCUCUCUCUCUCUCUCUCUCUCUCUCUCUCUCUGUCUCAAAAUAAAUAAACUUAAAAAACUUUAAAAAAUUUAAAAUGACUAUUGGGGCAUCUGACUGGCUCAGCUGAGGAAUGUACAACUCUUGAUCUCUGGGUCAUAAGUUCAAGCCCAACUUUGUGGGUAGAAAUUACCUUUAAAAAAUCUUUACAAAAAUGACUACUGUAUUUUGGGCCAAACACAACUUCAAAACUUACCAUAACAUUAAAGGCUAUUUAUUUCUUCAAUGGAAUAAAAAGUUUUAGUAAUCAGAUUGGGAAAUGAUCUAAUAUUAGAAAUGUGGUUAUAGGUUAAUGUGUGUAUAUAUCUUUUUGCACUAAAAGAUUAUUUUAUUUUUAAGUUUAAGAUUGUUAAUAUUAUAAUACAUUUCUGAUUUUAUGGGAAGUUUGGAUUUUCACAAAGGUACAUUACAAAAUAGCCCUUUUCCCUCUGAUUUAUUCAACUUUACCUGGGAGCAUACCAUAGAGGAGAAAAAUCUUUGGGGAUUUCUUACAUUCAAUACCACUUUAGUUUAUUUUUAAAAAAAGAUUUUAUGUGUAAGUAAUCUCGACACCCAACGUGGGGCUUGAACUCACAACCUUGAGACUAAGAGUCCCAUGCUCCAUCGACUGAGCCAGCCAGGUGCCAUUCAAUACCAUCUCAGAAGUUCUUUCCACCACAUAUUACAUGAUGAUAAGCAAUAGAUAUGAAUUAAUCUUCAGAUAUGCAGUAAGAUACGAAUCUUGGCUGAAGGCUUUUGCACAUACUUCAUGGGCUUUGUCUCCAGUACAACUUUCCUGAGGUCAAAGUGGGCUUAGGUGUUCAUGCCAGUGUUUACACAUUAAUUAAUCGUUAUCGAUACAAAGUAGAUCAUUUCAAUACCUAGAGUAAAAUCUCUGGAGCCUCAUGGUCCCUGAGAUUUAUUUCCUUUCUUUAUCUGAGAAAUUUCUCUGCCUUACCACCAGCAGAAUUUCUACAUUUAUCAUUUACCUCCUCAUCACCUUUAAUUUCUUGUCCAUUAACUAAGAGCAAAAAUCCUUGAAAUCAUAUGAGUAGGUGAGAGAAGGAAAAGUAGGGGCAAAAAUUUCCUAAAAAUAAAGCCUCCUCCUCAUCUACUUGGAAGCAUCAAUAUCUCUUAUAAAUGGAAAUGCUUCAAACCAAACACUUUUCUCCAUCCCAGUUCAAGUCUCUGGAAGGGUUCAGGAUCGGCGACAGAGAAUAAUCUUAUUCUAAGAUCAGUUGCAGCCCAUUAACUUGAUGACAUUAGUCGGCAGGAACAUGAACAUCACGUAUUCUGGCUAUUUCCUUAAAAAGACUUUAUUUACUGGAGUAUUCGGUGAGUCGGCAGUCAGAAGAUGCCUGGGGUCUGUAAGUUAGAAACCUACCAGUUGUUCAGGAGGACAGCUUUUCCUGGUCUAAGCUUACCAGAAAUGUCUCUUUGGGGAGUCUUAAAGAAGACACCGAUAAACAGCACAUCUAACAACAUCGUUUCAAUAAAAAACGACAGUCCUUCCCCAUGACCGCUGCUUCCUGCCGGCCUGGACGCUUACCCAGGGCGUGAUGCCAAAUGCCCGUUCAGUAAGAGCGAUCCCACGAAGGGGUCAAAGCCGUUUGGUCAAGGUCUGUCUGGUACACUGGCCAGUAUUAGCAAAACUGAAGAAGAAGAUGGAGUGUAUUUCCUUUUGGCACCGUUCUCCAAAUAUUUCUGGAGACAAAAAUCUAUGAUAAGAGUCGGGCAGCUGAGAAGGAAGAGGGAGGCAGCUAUGAACAGAGCGUGAGUGUGUGGGGGGCUGGUGUGGUGGGGUGGGGAACUGGAAGCCUGGAACGGCCUCUCCCCUUCGCCCAUUUUGCCCACCCUCCUCUGGCAACCACCAGUUUGCCCUCUGCAUUUAUGGGUCUGUUUCUGCUUUGGUUUGUUCGCUCCUUUGUUUUGUUUUGUGGAUUUCACAGCUGAGUGAAAUCACAUGGUAUUCAUCUUUCGCUGUCAGACUUAUUUCCCUUCGCACAAGUGAUUCUAAGUCCAUCUAUGUUGUUGCGAAGGGCAAGACUUCAGUCUUUUUUAUGGUUGCGUACUAUUCCGUUGUGUUUACGCACCACAUUUUUGUCCAUUCCUUUAUCAGUGGGCGCUUCCCUAUCUUGGCUACUGUAAGUAAUGCUGCAAUAAACAUAGGGGUGCAUAGA